rnacentral:rRNA from 1 species
AACGAACGCUGGCGGCAUGCCUAACACAUGCAAGUCGAACGAGACCUUCGGGUCUAGUGGCGCACGGGUGCGUAACGCGUGGGAACCUGCCCUUAGGUUCGGAAUAACUCCCCGAAAGGGGUGCUAAUACCGGAUAAUGUCUUCGGACCAAAGAUUUAUCGCCUUUGGAUGGGCCCGCGUUGGAUUAGCUAGUUGGUAGGGUAAAAGCCUACCAAGGCGACGAUCCAUAGCUGGUCUGAGAGGAUGAUCAGCCGCACUGGGACUGAGACACGGCCCAGACUCCUACGGGGGGCAGCAGUGGGGAAUAUUGGACAAUGGGCGAAAGCCUGAUCCAGCAAUGCCGCGUGAGUGAUGAAGGCCUUAGGGUUGUAAAGCUCUUUUACCCGGGAUGAUAAUGACAGUACCGGGAGAAUAAGCUCCGGCUAACUCCGUG